UGGGGAAUUUUGCGCAAUGGGGGAAACCCUGACGCAGCAACGCCGCGUGAGUGAUGAAGGCCUUCGGGUCGUAAAGCUCUGUCAGAGGGGGAGAAGUGCAUGGGCGCUAAUAUCGCUUAUGCUUGACGGUACCCUCAAAGGAAGCACCGGCUAACUCCGUGCCAGCAGCCGCGGUAAUACGGAGGGUGUGAGCGUUGUUCGGAAUUAUUGGGCGUAAAGCGCGUGUAGGCGGUUUUUUAAGUCUGAUGUGAAAGCCCUGGGCUCAACCCGGGAAGUGCAUUGGAAACUGGGAGACUUGAAUACGGGAGAGGGCAGUGGAAUUCCUGGUGUAGGAGUGAAAUCCGUAGAUAUCAGGAGGAACACCGGUGGCGAAGGCGGCUGCCUGGACCGAUAUUGACGCUGAGACGCGAAAGCGUGGGGAGCAAACAG
rnacentral:rRNA from 1 species